rnacentral:misc_RNA from 1 species
GAUGAAGAACGUAGCGAAAUGCGAUAAGUAAUGUGAAUUGCAGAAUUCCGUGAAUCAUCGAAUCUUUGAACGCACAUUGCGCCCUCUGGUAUUCCGGGGGGCAUGCCUGUACGAGCGUCAUUUGCAACCCUCAAGCCCGGCUUGUGUGAUGGGUGCCGUCCCCUACGGGACGCGCCCCGAAGGCAAUGGCGGCGUCGCGGUUAUCCGAUCAGCCAAAGUGUAUGGGGCUUUGUCACUCACUUUACGGCCCGGACCGGCGCCAGUCCGAAUCAAUCUUUUUUCUAAAGUUGACCUCGGAUCAGGUAGGGAUACCCGCUGAACUUAAGCAUAUCAAUAAGCGGAGGA